AGAGUUUGAUCCUGGCUCAGAUUGAACGCUGGCGGCAUGCCUUACACAUGCAAGUCGAACGGCAGCGCGGGGCAACCUGGCGGCGAGUGGCGAACGGGUGAGUAAUAUAUCGGAACGUACCCUGGAGUGGGGGAUAACGUAGCGAAAGUUACGCUAAUACCGCAUACGAUCUAAGGAUGAAAGUGGGGGAUCGCAAGACCUCAUGCUCCUGGAGCGGCCGAUAUCUGAUUAGCUAGUUGGCGGGGUAAAAGCCCACCAAGGCAACGAUCAGUAGCUGGUCUGAGAGGACGACCAGCCACGCUGGAACUGAGACACGGUCCAGACUCCUACGGGAGGCAGCAGUGGGGAAUUUUGGACAAUGGGCGCAAGCCUG
rnacentral:rRNA from 1 species